UACGUAGGGACCGAGCGUUGUCCGGAAUCAUUGGGCGUAAAGAGCGUGUAGGCGGCCCCUUAAGUCCUGCGUGAAAUCCUGCGGCUCAACCGCAGACGGUCGUGGGAAACUGGAGGGCUAGAGUGCGGGAGAGGAGAGUGGAAUUCCCGGUGUAGCGGUGAAAUGCGCAGAUAUCGGGAAGAACACCAGUGGCGAAGGCGACUACCUGGCCUGUUCUUGACGCUGAGGCGCGAAAGCUAGGGGAGCAAACGGG
rnacentral:rRNA from 1 species